rnacentral:lncRNA from 1 species
CACAGCCAUGACACUCCACCACAUCCACAGCAAUGCCAGAUCCUUAACCCACUGAGUGUGACCAGGGAUCGAACCCAUGUCCUCAUGGAUGCUAGUCGGCUUCAUCCACCUUCAUGGAUACUAGUUGGGUCCAUAACCCGCUGAGCCACAAUGGGAGUGCCUCAGCUGAGUUUUAAGUUUUUCCCUGUGGGAAAUCACAUUUUACAUGCUGAUGAGGGUGUGUGUAUGGCGGUAGUAAUGAUGGGUGUGGGUGUGUGUGUGUGUGUGUAGGGGUAACUUCUGAAGUCGACAUCUAAGAUAUCAAGUGUAUGUAAAACCCAAUGUAUUUAAAAGCUCUUGGAAUGGAAAUUUACAUCCCACCUUUCAGAAAAUUCAGCAGUUAGUCACUCAGCUUCUUUGGGCCCCAGAUGAAGAAGUUGGCUAUGUUAAAAUAAAACAUAUCCUUUAGCCCAGAUCCCACUUAGUGCUUUUCUCUCUAGAAGAGACUGCUGCUGCCUGAUGAAACAUCAGAUCCGUACUGUCCAUCUUAUACUCUCUUCGUGGAGUGCACUCUUUAUUUAGUUAGUUACUUUUUGUCUUUGGAGGGCUGCACCACCCACACCAUAUGGAAGUUCCUAGGUGAUGGGUCACAUCGGAGAUGUAGCUGCUGACCAACCCCUCAGCCGGAGCAACACCAGAUCCGAUUAAAAAAUCCACCUUUCCCUUUGCUCUCUUCUUGUUCUUCAAUACUGAAGUUUGUCACCAGAUCCUUUGGUCUUUAUUAAUGGCUUCUAUAAAAUGUGUGUUCAUAUAUGUGUAAUAUAUCUUUUAAAAUAUUCUCAGUUGCCUAAAGAAUAGGACUUUAUAAUUAUCCCUGGCUUUAAUUAUAGGGCACUAUCAAAGGCUCGGGUUUUAGAUUCAUUUAUUCUUUCAACAAAUAUUUAUUUAGUUCCUGGAGAUAAAGCAGGUUCAAAGUCCUUUUUUCCUUGGCGCUUAAAUUCCAGUAGGGAGACAGAUCAUAGAUAAAAGAAUAAUAGCAAACAAAUAAAUUAUUUUGCAUUUUGAUGAGAGCUGUGAUGAAGAAAAGGGUUAUUGGAAUGGAAAGCGACUAAUGGCUGUGACAGUUGCUCUAGAAAGGCAGUUCAGGGAACUGAAGAGUGACAUUUGAACUUAAAGCAAAUGAUGAGGAGUCAGCCUGGUCAUUUUCUGGACGGUGGAAACAGCCAAGGUAAAGACAAGAAGGUCUGUAGCCUGUUCUAGAGGCCGAGUCCAAGCCAACAAGGAAGAGGGCAGGAGGUGAUUAUGACUGAGACAUAUUUCUCAUGUCAGUAUGUAACUUGUGACUCUAUAUUCUUUACUGUAAAACAGGAAAAAUAACAGCUCUUUCACUGGGUUGUAUAAGGAUUAAAUAUAAUCAAGGUUUAAAUAUUCAUCCGGUGGAGUCAUUUUGGGAUGAUGGAGGAAUUUCUUGGGAGAAAAUCCAUCCUGGAGUAAGGACGAACCAAACAUCUUUCAUCCAAUGACAAAUGCCUCCUUCACAGGAGAAGAGAGGGGUUUCUGAGCACACAGUGGGGGUCUGUCAAAUUCAGUCCCGUAUCCGAUUCAGGUCUGACCACUGUGGAACUAGGUGGAAUUAAGUUGCUCUUGGGUAAUAGGACCGAGUGAGCUGGAAGUAAAAAUUAUAAGUGCUGUUUGCUUUCACUUAAAACUCUUUGAGAUAUUGGAACACAGGCAAACACUUUUAGGGGUCCACAGGAGAAAGUACAGAUUUAACAGGUCUGGGGAGUCCUGUCUGUUUUCUGCAGAGAACACAGGCAGCUUUGGUGCUUUGGCAUAAGUGGUGACACACCUCACAUGAGAUGGCAGUUCUCAGGGAAGGAGUAGCACAGUCAAGUGGAUGAGAUGGUUCCUGGAGGAUGUGGCACCUCUCAUAAGAGGCUGCUGUAGUGCCUGCAAAGGAAGUGGCACCCAGAGGGAAUGGCGAUGCUUGGCUGAACCAACACGGGUGUCCACAGAGAGAUAGAGAUGCCUGGUGAUGCGAGAGCCACCGAAGAAGCAGUAUGGUACCCAGAAGACACUGUGUGACCUGGCAGGAGUGGCAAUAUCCAGCCUCACUGCUUGAUGUUGAGUCCCGACUAUCCUGGCAAAAGAGAAAAGCAGAGAUAC